AGUUUGAUCAUGGCUCAAGAACGAACGCUGGCGGCAUGCCUAACACAUGCAAGUCGAACGAAGCCUUCGGGCUUAGUGGCGCACGGGUGCGUAACGCGUGGGAACCUGCCCCUUGGUUCGGAAUAACAGUUAGAAAUGACUGCUAAUACCGGAUGAUGACGAAAGUCCAAAGAUUUAUCGCCGAGGGAUGGGCCCGCGUAGGAUUAGCUAGUUGGUGAGGUAAUGGCUCACCAAGGCGACGAUCCUUAGCUGGUCUGAGAGGAUGAUCAGCCACACUGGGACUGAGACACGGCCCAGACUCCUACGGGAGGCAGCAGUGGGGAAUAUUGGACAAUGGGCGAAAGCCUGAUCCAGCAAUGCCGCGUGAGUGAUGAAGGCCUUAGGGUUGUAAAGCUCUUUACCAGGGAUGAUAAUGACAGUACCUGGAGAAUAAGCUCCGGCUAACUCCGUG
rnacentral:rRNA from 1 species